rnacentral:lncRNA from 1 species
UAUGCGUUUACUUUUCUACAUUGGCUAGAGGUAUAGGGGGAGGGUUGAGAUCUCACAAACAUGUUUAACCCCGCCGCAUUUUUGAGCCUGUCCCAAGUCAGGAGCCUCUGGCCUUUGUUAGUCUUGUAUUAUUUUAAGUUUAGUUUCUUGUGUACAAUUUGGAAAUUAGUAUGGCGUUCAUUAUCACUGAACUAGUAUAUAUUUGUUUAGG